GUCAUAGGACUGCAGGCAACUAGGAACAAAACAGUUAAGGACUACUGUUCGGAUUUUAUUGCAGUCUUCUGGGUGCCUGACAGCAAUGCCAUUACGAAGAAGCAUCUCUACGUACGGUGGCCAGAAGGAGUCAUCGAGAGCCACAUAGGGCUCAUGAGGAGUCUCCAAUGUUUUGUUUGUUAACUGCUGUAUGAGAAGAAUAUACAAAUGAAUGAUUGACAGGUGACAAGAGCACACUACUACAUACAACUACAUGCUGUUGUGCAAUAUCUUAGGUUCAAAACCAUGAAUGAAGACACUCAGACAAACCUCAAGAAUCUCACUCAGUGAGAUAAGGUCUGCACCAGAAUCUGGGACAGUGCCCUGCAGAAGAAAAACAAAGCAUGCAGUGAUGCUGCAGAAACAUUGUAGCAUCAGGCUCAAAUUAGUUUCCCCAGUCUGAUUUUAAAUUAAUAAAUCUCUAAAAUGAUGUGAAUAUUGUUUGCACUGGACUAUCAAUGCAAGUCAGAUUUGUACCCAUUACAAUCUUUAUUAUGUUGACUUGUUAACUUUUUGUCUGGUCUUGUCAUGUUUAGUCCGCCCCUCAGUGUUGAAUGUGAUGUAGUAUUACCUGAAUGCUUUGCCUGUAUAGCCAUUUAUAUGUACAUCUAUACUAAUCUUGACUGAAAACCUUGUAUCUCCAUUUUUGUUGUUUUUCAGUUUUUGACAUAAUUUGAAAAUGCCUGUUGCCCUUUACAAUGUUUGUAAAUUUUAUGAUGAAUGGACCAAAAGAAAUGGCCCAAAAUGACUUGGAAAAAAGUCUGGUUCCAUUGACUUACAUUGAAAGUAAAGUAUGUUUUGUCCCUUUCCUGUAAAUUUACCAUUCUGGAGAUGCGAGGUUUUCUUCUGACGGUAACAAUAUGCUUAAGUAUGUUUGUCUGUGGACCCUGUCCAUGUCACAUUUCUGAACAAAUUACUAGUAAUGCAAUUAUAUUAUGACUGUAUUACACUACACACCACUUGUAUGCAAAAGUUUCAGGACCUUUGGUCAAAUGGGCUGCUUUGUUGACUUUCUUCUAAGUGAAAAUAAAUACACAUUCUCUACAAAGAA